CCUCUUAUUCUUGAAUUUCUAUUCUUAUAUCUUUAUCUUUCUUGAUUUUCAGUUCAAAAAUAUUAUAUAGGUUUCUUUCAAGAUGCCUCGUGCUAUGGUUUGAAUGUGUCUUCCAAAAUUCAGGUGUUGAUACAUAAUGGCCAAUGUAAUGAUAUUAAGAGGUGAGCCCUUUAAGAGGUGAUUAGGUCAUAAGGGCUCCUUCUUCAUGAACAGGAUUCAGGUCCUUACAAAACAGGCUUGAUGCAGCAUUUACCUUGCUUGCUCUUCCACCUUCCACCAUGCGAGGACACUGCAUUCCUCUCCUCUGCAGGAUUCAGCAAGAAGGUGCCAUCUUGGAAGUAAAGAGCAGUCCUCACCAGACAACCAAACCUACCAUUGCCUUGAUCUUAGACUUCGCAGCCUCCAGAACUACUUCCCACUGGGUUCCAGCCGGCACACCCAACCUCUUCAGGACCUGGCUCUCCUAGACAGUGAUUAUCUUGGCACAUUGCCACGGUCAAGAGCGACACCUCAAGACCAAAUUAGAAACAGUCACAAUAGCUUCACUUCUGUCAAUGGUUCAGCCUGAGCAACAGGCAUAAACUUCAUUUUUCUUCACCUGAUACUCUCUGAUUCAACACCCUACAUUUCUGCCAGGCUUGUGUGGUCUCUUUAGAAUGGCCAUACUCUAAAAAAAUUGCAAAUGGAACUGCAAAUCCACUACCUGUGUGUCUUCGGACCAGCCAUGUCACUUUUGGAUUUCUCACUUAUGAGAUGCAGUAAUUGCCAGUUGCUCUCCCAAGCCUAAAGUACAAUGCCUUUUACCACAGUUAUUGAUGAACACUUAUCUGAAUUAAAAGGAACUUAGCAUCUUCUUAAC
rnacentral:lncRNA from 1 species